CAGCCGCCGCGGGAAUACGAAGGGUGCAAGCGUUACUCGGAAUUACUGGGCGUAAAGCGCACGUAGGCGGCUUGGUAAGUUAGAGGUGAAAGCCCGGAGCUCAACUCCGGAAUUGCCUUUAAGACUGCAGAGCUAGCAGGUGAGAGAGGUGAGUGGAAUUCCGAGUGUAGAGGUGAAAUUCGUAGAUAUUCGGAAGAACACCAGUGGCGAAGGCGGCUCACUGGCUCAUACUGGACGCUGAGGCGCGAAAGCUAGGGGAGCAAACAGGAUUAGAUACCCCAGUAGUCCCUGUCUCUUAUAA
rnacentral:rRNA from 1 species